rnacentral:rRNA from 1 species
UACAUAGGGAGCAAGCGUUAUCCGGAAUGAUUGGGCGUAAAGCGUCUGUAGGUGGUUCAAAAAGUCUACUGUCAAAUACGUUGGCUCAACCAACGGCAGGCAUUAGAUACUAUUGAACUAGAGUGUGGUAGAGGUAGAGGGAAUCCCUAGCGUAACAGUGAAAUGUGUAGAUUUUAGGGAGAACACCAGCGGCGAAGGCGCUCUACUGGGCCGAUUACUGACACUGAGAGACGAAAGCUAGGGAGCGAAUGGG